GAGGCCGGUUAUCGGAAUGGGUACAAUUUAAACCCGUUAACGAGGAUCUAUGAGAGGGCAAGUCUGGUGCCAGCAGCCGCGGUAAUUCCAGCUCUCAAAGUGUAUAUCGUCAUUGCUGCGGUUAAAAAGCUCGUAGUUGGAUCUGCGCCUAAGGACUCGGUCCGUCUUAUGGAUGUGAACUGAGCUCCUAGGCUACCACUGCCGGUUUUCCUUACGUUGCCUUCAUCGGUCGCGUAGGGUGGCCGGCGAGUUUACCUUGAAAAAAUUAGAGUGCUCAAAGCGGGCUAAUGCCUGAAUAUUCGUGCAUGGAAUAAUGAAAUAGGAUCUCGGUUCUAUUUUGUUGGUUUUCUGAUCUGAGAUAAUGGUUAAGAGGGACGGACGGGGGCAU
rnacentral:rRNA from 1 species